AACGAACGCUGGCGGCAGGCUUAACACAUGCAAGUCGAGCGGAGAUGAGGUGCUUGCACCUUAUCUUAGCGGCGGACGGGUGAGUAAUGCUUAGGAAUCUGCCUAUUAGUGGGGGACAACAUUCCGAAAGGAAUGCUAAUACCGCAUACGCCCUACGGGGGAAAGCAGGGGAUCUUCGGACCUUGCGCUAAUAGAUGAGCCUAAGUCGGAUUAGCUAGUUGGUGGGGUAAAGGCCUACCAAGGCGACGAUCUGUAGCGGGUCUGAGAGGAUGAUCCGCCACACUGGGACUGAGACACGGCCCAGACUCCUACGGGAGGCAGCAGUGGGGAAUAUUGGACAAUGGGCGGAAGCCUGAUCCAGCCAUGCCGCGUGUGUGAAGAAGGCCUUUUGGUUGUAAAGCACUUUAAGCGAGGAGGAGGCUACCUGGAUUAAUACUCUAGGAUAGUGGACGUUACUCGCAGAAUAAGCACCGGCUAACUCUGUGCCAGCAGCCGCGGUAAGAC
rnacentral:rRNA from 1 species